rnacentral:ncRNA from 2 species
AGGGGUACAGAGAGAGCCAUCUCGUCUGACGUGGUUAAAACUGACAUCCAUGUAAUUGCUGUGUGUAGCCUUUGCCCGCCUCAAGUGACGGGCUUUUUUAUGU